rnacentral:lncRNA from 1 species
CACAGAGCCUCCCAGCUUCCUGUCCUCCUAGGAACUUAAACAGAUUUUGGUCUAUAGCAGACAGCGUCUGAAGGAAGUGAAAAUUUUAAAACACUCCCAAAUUCAUCGACCUUCGGAUUUCAAUUCCUCUCUAGUCCUGCCGCCCACAAAGCCCAGCCAGCUCUUUUUCUUAAUCUUAUGUUUCUCCUCUCUUCUCCUGCCUUAAAAAUCUCCCAGUGAAAUCUAGGGUGCACGAGAUUAAAUAAAUACCGCCCUAGGGCCAUAGGAAGGGGAGGUAGGGUAGAGAUGGCAAAGGGAAGUGGGGGGUCCUUUGUGAAUGGAUUCUUUAUACUCAAAGCAAACGCAGACCAGAGUGGAUGCUUCCGCCCUCCGAAGUGUGGGUGGGUACCGCUGGCGCUGGGGGGUGAGGGUGCUUCUCCUCCUCCCCGCCCUUGAGGAAUUUGGGACUUAAAAGACAGACAGUUCUGUCAACUGCUCAGACUUGGGGGUGGGAGGGUGCGGAGUUAGGCAGCGGGACUGCUCACACCCACAACUUCGUCCACUGCCCUCCUCCUCUACCUCAGAUGUUCUCCUCGCCUCCCCCACUCCUUUUUAAAAGCCGCCUCAGGGGUCUCCCAGACAUCUUCGCUUUGUGGUUUUGCGUCUACUGUGGUGCCAUCUGAAUAGGCCUCUCUAGUCCAGGCCGCCCUCCGCUGGGCUUUCUCCAGCACAGCCUUGGUGGCAAUGCGGGCCAAAGCGUGCAGGGACCAGCCCAGGGGACGCCGGCGCAGCUGGGUUGAACGAACCCUUUAGCUCCUACGGACAUCGCGCAGGGCAGGCGUCGUCUGCCGCUGACGACAGGAACACAUCCGGCACGUGUAAGGAUCAAGGCAAAGUGCUGGCUCUGACCCUGGCGGGGUCAAGUCCAGCCCCCGGCCCAAUCCGGCGGGGUUCAGAAACGCCCGGCGACCCCAGGCCCGGGAGUCCGCGCGGACCGCGGCGGAGUUUUUCCCUACCCCCGCGUGCCGCGCGGCAGCGCACCCGGGGAUCCGGUUUCGUCCCGUUGACUUGUUGGUUUGAAAGUUGAAACCCUGGGGUAGUUAAGGCUGGACGCAAAACUCUCCAACCCCGCUAAUCCUAGACAAAAUAAAAACAUAAGCGUCCACAAACCAAAUUUUGGUCACUUUCUGUGGGGGUCGCCUGGUGGGGAACACGUCGCUGCGGGACCUGGAGGGAGGUGUACUUUCUACCUCGAAUUCCCUGUGUGUGGGAAGAUGUCGAGAAGGUAUUGGAAGGGGGUCUUCCCUAUGCUGCCUAUUCCGGUCUCCGAAACAGGUAUUAAAAAAAACCCACCAAAAACCAACCAACCAAACAAAAAAACCCGGAAUGGGCUGCAUCUGCAGCUCUGGUGGGGGUGGGGGCGGAGGGGUGCAUAGGAGGCUCAUCUUGAGGCCAAGCUCCGGCACGAAUUUGCCGCACACCAGGACCGAGGGUCUCCCAGGGAGAUGAAACCCAGCAGGAGAAAUCAGGGCCUGGGAGCCCCUGGCCCCACUCAGGAGACAACCCGCCCGGCGCGAAGGAUGAGUUUUCCGAAUCCCACACGAGGAAACUGGAAGGCAGGCAGACGCUCAAGCCUCCAACAGGGUGGAAUCGCAAAGAAAAAAAAAGUUUAAAAAGAAAGAAAGAAAGAAAAAACUAAAUUUGAACAAAACUAAACUACAAGCCCGCAGGUCCCAGCGCCGCAAAACGAGGUGGGGGAGGAGGGGGCGGGAACGGCCCAGGCGCAGAGAGUGGGGGAUGCGGAACGAACUCCGUCCCCUGCAGAGUCGGUGCCUUCGGGGGCUCCACCGCCGCGCGCUCCCACUCGCCAGGUUUGGACUCACUGGGGAGGCCGAAGGUGGGAGGGAGAG